rnacentral:rRNA from 1 species
UACGGAGGAUGCAAGUGUUAUCCGGAUUCAUUGGGUUUAAAGGGUGCGUAGGCGGACUAUUAAGUCAGUGGUGAAAGCCUGCAGCUUAACUGCAGAACUGCCAUUGAUACUGAUAGUCUUGAGUUUGGUUAAGGUAGGCGGAAUGUGUAAUGUAGCGGUGAGAUGCUUAGAUAUUACACAGAACACCAAUUGCGUAGGCAGCUUACUGGGCUGACACUGACGCUGAGGCACGAAAGCGUGGGGAUCGAA